GAUAUACUAUUUAUGAUAUGAUUUAAUUUUAGUAUAAAUACCUUUAUGAACAUUUUCCAAGAAGUAAUUAUUGUCACUUAAUUAUAAUCACGUAAUCGUUUACCUGUACCUGUAUAUUAUAAUAAAAUAAAAAAAAAAAAAACAAAAUAAAUAAAAUAAUAUGGAGAACAGAAACAACUUAUUUAAAAAUGUAAAAUUUACGCGUCUGGCUCGCGUUUAUCAACAGCCGACUAAUCUUAUGCCACCAGAAAAGCCGAAUUCAUCAAGUUCACCACCAUCAAAACCAAAAGAGGACAGCAAGAAGAAUAAAGGUGUUAAAGCAGCUAAAACUACAUAAAUCUUUCAAAGAAUAAGAACUCGUGGCGAAUAGCGGUUGUGGAGUUGUGUACAUCUUUUACCAUUGUCCAUUAACACGUGUUUUUGCCGUGACACAUCCAUGCAAGAACAGUUUUGUCGUGGCAGAAACACGAAUAAGACAGAAGUGCUCACAGAUAACAUUUAUAUACGACAUCAUAACGUUAAAGAAAAAGGGAUAUUCCUUUUAAAAAGGCCGGCAGCAAACCUGCAAUGCCAUUGGUGUUGUGGAUGGAUUAUGGACGGCGGUAGUCAGUUACCAUCAGGUGAGCCGCAUGCUCGUUUGCCUCCUGUGUUGUAACAAAAUACGUCUCUAUCUAGUGAGUCUGAUGGUUUUUUUAAUGGAUGAUAGUGGAAUGAUAACUUCGUCUGGGCUAUUGGUAUACGCUGGCGGGACACCAGUAAGGGAUGAUAGGUGAGAAUGAAAAGGCAGGUCAGUUAGUUCAUCGUGAUGAAUACAUCUAGAAUUCAGCACGAUGGUUUCCAGCAAUGGGACCGGUAAUCCGCAUUACUAACUAUACUCCCUCUCCCCCCUAACUCUGAUGGUUAUUUGCCUAUAAAAUCAACAUUACACCGCCCCUACUUGCUGCCCUCAGGAAUGGCAACGCAUGGGGGUAUCAUGGGCGGAACAGUAUACUCUGUUAUGUCCAUGGUGCUGCUCAUGUCUAUAGACGACGGUUACCACUUUCCAUCAGGUGGGCCGUCAGCUUGUUUGCCAUUCUAAGUUGUAAAAAAAAACACUAUACCACUAAUAAUUAGAAGAAAAAGAAAUAAGCACUAAAUACACUUUUCUUUCUUUUUUU